ACUCCUACGGGAGGCAGCAGUGGGGAAUUUUGGACAAUGGGCGCAAGCCUGAUCCAGCCAUGCCGCGUGCGGGAAGAAGGCCUUCGGGUUGUAAACCGCUUUUGUCAGGGAAGAAAAGGUUCUGGCUAAUACCUGGGACUCAUGACGGUACCUGAAGAAUAAGCACCGGCUAACUACGUGCCAGCAGCCGCGGUAAUACGUAGGGUGCAAGCGUUAAUCGGAAUUACUGGGCGUAAAGCGUGCGCAGGCGGUUAUGCAAGACAGAGGUGAAAUCCCCGGGCUCAACCUGGGAACUGCCUUUGUGACUGCAUGGCUAGAGUACGGUAGAGGGGGAUGGAAUUCCGCGUGUAGCAGUGAAAUGCGUAGAUAUGCGGAGGAACACCGAUGGCGAAGGCAAUCCCCUGGACCUGUACUGACGCUCAUGCACGAAAGCGUGGGGAGCAAACAGGAUUAGAUACCCCAGUAGUCCCAU
rnacentral:rRNA from 1 species